GUUGCAAGAGCAGACUUUGCUCUUUAGCUGCAGAUUGCAGCUCAGUUGCCUAUCGGACUAAAAUCAUCGUCAUCAUUGAUCUUGUUUCUAGUAUUUCUUGCCUGAAAACCACAAGCCAGCUAUCUGACAUUCCUUUACUUGAAUAAGGGAGGAAGGAAAAGCCACAAAAAUCACUUUCUGCUGAAUCAGGAGCAGAGGUAACCAGGGCUGAGAUGUUUCAGCGUUCGCAAAACUUCAACUGAUGCCAGCGUUAAAAACUGAGCAUGCCACUAAGAGUUUGGAAGUCACUGCUAUCACAAGUCUCAUCGUCCUCUACAAUGUGUGUCAAAGGAUCAAAGGAGGAUUCAUUUGGACUUUUUGGUCUAGCUUCAGCUGUUGCAAUUGCCCAUAAAGAUGAUGAGAUUUAGAUAUCGACUCCUUCCGUUUUGUUUCCUCUGUUUCAUGUAAGAGUUUCUGAAGAGAUAAAGGAAAGAGCAUAAUUCUCCAAUCAAAAGCCAACUAAGGCAUAAAACUACUGAAGAAUUACCAAAAAACAGUUCCAACAGAGAAGUUAAUUUUAAUGUAACAAGAUUGCUGUGGAAAUGAUGGCUUAGAGACUGCUCAAGUGGUACUACUACCCUAAAGUCGAUUUUUAUUGGUAUCAAUGAAAAUUGUAAAGCUUCCAUAUAAUGGACAAAAUGCAUUAUAUGGAUUUUAAAACAUCACUCAAACAUAAUGAAACUAAAACAGGGAAGUGCAUAUUUGCACAUUCCUAAACACCCUUAACUAAGGAAUAAGCGGCAACGAACACAGUGGGACUUCUAAAUAAUCAUGCAUAAGAUUGUACCUAUAGCAACUGCCUAUUAAUAUGCAAAUAAGCUUUUACAAACUUCAGAAGAAGAAAAAAGUUGUGCCAUUUGCAUAAUCCUGUGUACGUGAAUUUUGCAAAUCUGACUGCAGGAUAUAAUGUGUACAGACCUAUGCUGCACUUGCGCCUUUACAGAGCACAUCCAGUGGCAAAUACAGGGUGAGUCCUUUAAAAGAGGCCCCGUGGAUACAGAGUACACAUGUUCCACAGGGGCUCUUUUAAAAGACUCACCCUGUAUAUAAAUAAACUAAUUCUAUAUGGCCAACAGGGCUUUAGGCACGUGUUCCUCAAAUAGUAGCCCCUCACACUUCACAGUAAACUAUUUUGAUAGAGAAAGCAUUUUCAAGAGCAGCAUAUGGCAUAACAUAAUUUUGUUUCCCAAAUAUACAUGGUACAUGAAAGUGUAUCAAAUAGUAACAUGGACAAUAUAAAUCCUUUACUGAUCAUUAACAUUUAUCACGAAGCCUGUACCUGC